rnacentral:rRNA from 1 species
AACGAACGCUGGCGGCAUGCCUAACACAUGCAAGUCGAACGAGACCUUCGGGUCUAGUGGCGCACGGGUGCGUAACGCGUGGGAACCUGCCCUUAGGUUCGGAAUAACUCCCCGAAGGGGGUGCUAAUACCGGAUAAUGUCUUCGGACCAAAGAUUUAUCGCCUUUGGAUGGGCCCGCGUUGGAUUAGCUAGUUGGUAGGGUAAAAGCCUACCAAGGCGACGAUCCAUAGCUGGUCUGAGAGGAUGAUCAGCCACACUGGGACUGAGACACGGCCCAGACUCCUACGGGAGGCAGCAGUGGGGAAUAUUGGACAAUGGGCGAAAGCCUGAUCCAGCAAUGCCGCGUGAGUGAUGAAGGCCUUAGGGUUGUAAAGCUCUUUUACCCAGGAUGAUAAUGACAGUACCGGGAGAAUAAGCUCCGGCUAACUCCGUG